GGUUAAGCGACUAAGCGUACACGGUGGAUGCCCUGGCAGUCAGAGGCGAUGAAGGACGUGCUAAUCUGCGAUAAGCGUCGGUAAGGUGAUAUGAACCGUUAUAACCGGCGAUUUCCGAAUGGGGAAACCCAGUGUGAUUCGUCACACUAUCAUUAACUGAAUCCAUAGGUUAAUGAGGCGAACCGGGGGAACUGAAACAUCUAAGUACCCCGAGGAAAAGAAAUCAACCGAGAUUCCCCCAGUAGCGGCGAGCGAACGGGGAGCAGCCCAGAGCCUGAAUCAGUGUGUGUGUUAGUGGAAGCGUCUGGAAAGGCGCGCGAUACAGGGUGACAGCCCCGUACACAAAAAUGCACAUGCUGUGAGCUCGAUGAGUAGGGCGGGACACGUGGUAUCCUGUCUGAAUAUGGGGGGACCAUCCUCCAAGGCUAAAUACUCCUGACUGACCGAUAGUGAACCAGUACCGUGAGGGAAAGGCGAAAAGAACCCCGGCGAGGGGAGUGAAAAAGAACCUGAAACCGUGUACGUACAAGCAGUGGGAGCACGCUUCGGCGUGUGACUGCGUACCUUUUGUAUAAUGGGUCAGCGACUUAUAUUCUGUAGCAAGGUUAACCGAAUAGGGGAGCCGAAGGGAAACCGAGUCUUAACUGGGCGUUAAGUUGCAGGGUAUAGACCCGAAACCCGGUGAUCUAGCCAUGGGCAGGUUGAAGGUUGGGUAACACUAACUGGAGGACCGAACCGACUAAUGUUGAAAAAUUAGCGGAUGACUUGUGGCUGGGGGUGAAAGGCCAAUCAAACCGGGAGAUAGCUGGUUCUCCCCGAAAGCUAUUUAGGUAGCGCCUCGUGAAUUCAUCUCCGGGGGUAGAGCACUGUUUCGGCAAGGGGGUCAUCCCGACUUACCAACCCGAUGCAAACUGCGAAUACCGGAGAAUGUUAUCACGGGAGACACACGGCGGGUGCUAACGUCCGUCGUGAAGAGGGAAACAACCCAGACCGCCAGCUAAGGUCCCAAAGUCAUGGUUAAGUGGGAAACGAUGUGGGAAGGCCCAGACAGCCAGGAUGUUGGCUUAGAAGCAGCCAUCAUUUAAAGAAAGCGUAAUAGCUCACUGGUCGAGUCGGCCUGCGCGGAAGAUGUAACGGGGCUAAACCAUGCACCGAAGCUGCGGCAGCGACGCUUAUGCGUUGUUGGGUAGGGGAGCGUUCUGUAAGCCUGCGAAGGUGUGCUGUGAGGCAUGCUGGAGGUAUCAGAAGUGCGAAUGCUGACAUAAGUAACGAUAAAGCGGGUGAAAAGCCCGCUCGCCGGAAGACCAAGGGUUCCUGUCCAACGUUAAUCGGGGCAGGGUGAGUCGACCCCUAAGGCGAGGCCGAAAGGCGUAGUCGAUGGGAAACAGGUUAAUAUUCCUGUACUUGGUGUUACUGCGAAGGGGGGACGGAGAAGGCUAUGUUGGCCGGGCGACGGUUGUCCCGGUUUAAGCGUGUAGGCUGGUUUUCCAGGCAAAUCCGGAAAAUCAAGGCUGAGGCGUGAUGACGAGGCACUACGGUGCUGAAGCAACAAAUGCCCUGCUUCCAGGAAAAGCCUCUAAGCAUCAGGUAACAUCAAAUCGUACCCCAAACCGACACAGGUGGUCAGGUAGAGAAUACCAAGGCGCUUGAGAGAACUCGGGUGAAGGAACUAGGCAAAAUGGUGCCGUAACUUCGGGAGAAGGCACGCUGAUAUGUAGGUGAAGUCCCUCGCGGAUGGAGCUGAAAUCAGUCGAAGAUACCAGCUGGCUGCAACUGUUUAUUAAAAACACAGCACUGUGCAAACACGAAAGUGGACGUAUACGGUGUGACGCCUGCCCGGUGCCGGAAGGUUAAUUGAUGGGGUCAGCGCAAGCGAAGCUCUUGAUCGAAGCCCCGGUAAACGGCGGCCGUAACUAUAACGGUCCUAAGGUAGCGAAAUUCCUUGUCGGGUAAGUUCCGACCUGCACGAAUGGCGUAAUGAUGGCCAGGCUGUCUCCACCCGAGACUCAGUGAAAUUGAACUCGCUGUGAAGAUGCAGUGUACCCGCGGCAAGACGGAAAGACCCCGUGAACCUUUACUAUAGCUUGACACUGAACAUUGAGCCUUGAUGUGUAGGAUAGGUGGGAGGCUUUGAAGUGUGGACGCCAGUCUGCAUGGAGCCGACCUUGAAAUACCACCCUUUAAUGUUUGAUGUUCUAACGUUGACCCGUAAUCCGGGUUGCGGACAGUGUCUGGUGGGUAGUUUGACUGGGGCGGUCUCCUCCUAAAGAGUAACGGAGGAGCACGAAGGUUGGCUAAUCCUGGUCGGACAUCAGGAGGUUAGUGCAAUGGCAUAAGCCAGCUUGACUGCGAGCGUGACGGCGCGAGCAGGUGCGAAAGCAGGUCAUAGUGAUCCGGUGGUUCUGAAUGGAAGGGCCAUCGCUCAACGGAUAAAAGGUACUCCGGGGAUAACAGGCUGAUACCGCCCAAGAGUUCAUAUCGACGGCGGUGUUUGGCACCUCGAUGUCGGCUCAUCACAUCCUGGGGCUGAAGUAGGUCCCAAGGGUAUGGCUGUUCGCCAUUUAAAGUGGUACGCGAGCUGGGUUUAGAACGUCGUGAGACAGUUCGGUCCCUAUCUGCCGUGGGCGCUGGAGAACUGAGGGGGGCUGCUCCUAGUACGAGAGGACCGGAGUGGACGCAUCACUGGUGUUCGGGUUGUCAUGCCAAUGGCACUGCCCGGUAGCUAAAUGCGGAAGAGAUAAGUGCUGAAAGCAUCUAAGCACGAAACUUGCCCCGAGAUGAGUUCUCCCUGACUCCUUGAGAGUCCUGAAGGAACGUUGAAGACGACGACGUUGAUAGGCCGGGUGUGUAAGCGCAGCGAUGCGUUGAGCUAACCGGUACUAAUGAACCGUGAGGCUUAACCUU
rnacentral:rRNA from 1 species